rnacentral:rRNA from 1 species
GUGGGGAAUUUUGGACAAUGGGCGCAAGCCUGAUCCAGCAAUGCCGCGUGCAGGAAGAAGGCCUUCGGGUUGUAAACUGCUUUUGUACGGAACGAAAAGGCUCUGGUUAAUACCUGGGGCUCAUGACGGUACCGUAAGAAUAAGCACCGGCUAACUACGUGCCAGCAGCCGCGGUAAUACGUAGGGUGCAAGCGUUAAUCGGAAUUACUGGGCGUAAAGCGUGCGCAGGCGGUUUUGUAAGACAGGCGUGAAAUCCCCGGGGUCAACCUGGGAAUGGCGCUUGUGACUGCAAGGCUGGAGUGCGGCAGAGGGGGAUGGAAUUCCGCGUGUAGCAGUGAAAUGCGUAGAUAUGCGGAGGAACACCGAUGGCGAAGGCAAUCCCCUGGGCCUGCACUGACGCUCAUGCACGAAAGCGUGGGGAGCAAACAGGAUUAGAUACCCUUGUAGUCC